UAGCUAAGUGGUAAAGCACUUGGCUUCCGAACCGAGGCGGUCCCGGGUUCGAAUCCUGG
rnacentral:tRNA from 1 species